CGAGUGGCGAACGGGUGAGUAACACGUGGACAACCUGCCUCAAGGCUGGGGAUAACAUUUGGAAACAGAUGCUAAUACCGAAUAAAACUUAGUAUCGCAUGAUAUCAAGUUAAAAGGCGCUACGGCGUCACCUAGAGAUGGAUCCGCGGUGCAUUAGUUAGUUGGUGGGGUAAAGGCUUACCAAGACGAUGAUGCAUAGCCGAGUUGAGAGACUGAUCGGCCACAUUGGGACUGAGACUCGGCCCAAACUCCUACGGGAGGCUGCAGUAGGGAAUCUUCCACAAUGGGCGCAAGCCUGAUGGAGCAACGCCGCGUGUGUGAUGAAGGCUUUCGGGUCGUAAAGCACUGUUGUAUGGGAAGAAAUGCUAAAAUAGGGAAUGAUUUUAGUUUGACGGUACCAUACCAGAAAGGGACGGCUAAAUACGUGCCAGCAGCCGCGGUAAUACGUAUGUCCCGAGCGUUAUCCGGAUUUAUUGGGCGUAAAGCGAGCGCAGACGGUUGAUUAAGUCUGAUGUGAAAGCCCGGAGCUCAACUCCGGAAUGGCAUUGGAAACUGGUUAACUUGAGUGUUGUAGAGGUAAGUGGAACUCCAUGUGUAGCGGUGGAAUGCGUAGAUAUAUGGAAGAACACCAGUGGCGAAGGCGGCUUACUGGACAACAACUGACGUUGAGGCUCGAAAGUGUGGGUAGCAAACAGGAUUAGAUACCCUGGUAGUCCACACCGUAAACGAUGAAUACUAGGUGUUAGGAGGUUUCCGCCUCUUAGUGCCGAAGCUAACGCAUUAAGUAUUCCGCCUGGGGAGUACGACCGCAAGGUUGAAACUCAAAGGAAUUGACGGGGACCCGCACAAGCGGUGGAGCAUGUGGUUUAAUUCGAAGCAACGCGAAGAACCUUACCAGGUCUUGACAUCCUUUGAAGCUUUUAGAGAUAGAAGUGUUCUCUUCGGAGACAAAGUGACAGGUGGUGCAUGGUCGUCGUCAGCUCGUGUCGUGAGAUGUUGGGUUAAGUCCCGCAACGAGCGCAACCCUUAUUGUUAGUUGCCAGCAUUCAGUUGGGCACUCUAGCGAGACUGCCGGUGACAAACCGGAGGAAGGCGGGGACGACGUCAGAUCAUCAUGCCCCUUAUGACCUGGGCUACACACGUGCUACAAUGGCGUAUACAACGAGUUGCCAACCUGCGAAGGUGAGCUAAUCUCUUAAAGUACGUCUCAGUUCGGACUGCAGUCUGCAACUCGACUGCACGAAGUCGGAAUCGCUAGUAAUCGCGGAUCAGCACGCCGCGGUGAAUACGUUCCCGGGUCUUGUACACACCGCCCG
rnacentral:rRNA from 1 species